rnacentral:lncRNA from 1 species
UCCAGACAAAUAUAUAUAUACACUAAAUAUAUACAAUAUAAUCAACAUCAAUUCCAUAUUUCGAAGUUUAAAACAAUUCAAAUUCAAUAUAUUAAUAUGAAUUAACUUAAUUAAAAAAUAAUCAUCAUAACGCUCAAAGUCAUGUUCUCAUUUCCGUCGGUUUCAUCUAGUUCACGUUUAUAGUGCUAAAGAAAAAAAAACAAAACAAAACGUAAAUGACAUAUAAAUAAACAUUUUAGGUUAUAUAAUAGUAAAAUACCCAACAUACAGAUAUAUUUUUUGUUCUCGAC